rnacentral:snRNA from 1 species
AGAUGUGAGGGCGAUCUGGCUGCGACAUCUGUCACCCCAUUGAUCGCCAGGGUUGAUUCGUCUGACCUGGCUGGCUAGGCGGGUGUCCCCCUCCUCCCUCACUGAUCCAUGUGCGUCCCUCCCUAAGCUGCGCGCUCAGCUGACGAGGACGACCCCCACCGCCAGGAGAGGACCGGUCUUCGGUCAAGGGUAUAGGAGUAGCUGCGCUCCCCUGCUAGAACCUCCAAACAAGCUCACAAGGAAUGGAUUUAGAGCCCUAGCCAGUUUUGCU